ACAGCAGUAGAACAGACUCAGAUACAGUAGACACAGCAGUAGAACAGACUCAGGUACAGUAGACAGUAGAUACAGCAGUAGAACAGACUCAGGUACAGUAGAUACAGCAGUAGAACAGACUCAGGUACAGCAGAUACAGCAGUAGAACAGACUCAGGUACAGUAGACAGUAGAUACAGCAGUAGAACAGACUCAGGUACAGUAGACACAGCAGUAGAACAGACUCAGGUACAGUAGAUACAGCAGUAGAACAGACUCAGGUACAGUAGACAGUAGAUACAGCAGUAGAACUGAUUCAGGUACAGUAGACAGUAGAUACAGCAGUAGAACUGAUUCAGGUACAGUAGACAGUAGAUACAGCAGUAGAACAGACUCAGGUACAGUAGACAGUAGAUACAGCAGUAGAACAGACUCAGGUACAGUAGAUACAGCAGUAGAACAGACUCAGGUACAGCAGAUACAGCAGUAGAACAGACUCAGGUACAGUAGACAGUAGAUACAGCAGUAGAACAGACUCAGGUACAGUAGACACAGCAGUAGAACAGACUCAGGUACAGUAGACAGUAGAUACAGCAGUAGAACUGAUUCAGGUACAGUAGACAGUAGAUACAGCAGUAGAACUGAUUCAGGUACAGUAGACAGUAGAUACAGCAGUAGAACAGACGCAGGUACAGUAGACAGUAGAUACAGCAGUAGAACAGUAUCAGGUACAGUAGAUACAGCAGUAGAACAGACUCAGGUACAGUAGAUACAGCAGUAGAACAGACUCAGGUACAGUAGACAGUAGAUACAGCAGUAGAACAGACUCAGGUACAGUAGAUACAGCAGUAGAACAGACUCAGGUACAGUAGAUACAGCAGUAGAACAGACUCAGGUACAGUAGACAGUAGAUACAGCAGUAGAACAGACUCAGGUACAGUAGACACAGCAGUAGAACAGACUCAGGUACAGUAGAUACAGCAGUAGAACAGACUCAGGUACAGUAGAUACAGCAGUAGAACAGACUCAGGUACAGUAGACAGUAGAUACAGCAGUAGAACAGACUCAGGUACAGUAGAUACAGCAGUAGAACAGACUCAGGUACAGUAGAUACAGCAGUAGAACAGAUACAGGAGCUGGAUAGUGAGAGACAGAGUGGUGCUGCAGUGAACAGCACAGUGAACUAUAACCUGCUCCUGCAGCGAGGACAGUCUGGAGGGUAGAGACUCAUAAUUAUAAUACAGCUGAAUGUGCCAUUGAGGGAGAGCGGGAAAAUGACCGAACACACACACACACACACAGACACACAGACACACAGACAGACAGACACACACACACACACACACACACACACACACACACACACACAGACAGACACACACACACAGACAGACACACACAGACACACACAGACACACACAGACACACA